AUGACAAGGGAGGGCGGGGAAUUCGUAGCAAGUUUCUGUUCUUUCUUCAGACAUACAAUAGAAAACCAGAAGAGAUUUCACAUGAAUAUAGUCCGGCCCCCCAACAGUCUGAACCGGACCUCCACUUUAAAAGUUUGAAGACCCCAGCACUUGAUGAACCAACCUUGACGCAGUAUAUUAUUUGAGAAGACAGAAAUGCUGGACCACUCGGACAACCACCAGGAAAGUCAUCGAAAUCCACAAGCAGGUGGAGAAUGUCAACAGAAAGGAGGAAACCACUGGCUACCAGUAUUUUUUAAAAAAAUCCAGAAUCAGGACAGUCGAUAAAGAACAACAGGGGAAUUCCAGACACGAAACAACCAGGGCUAGCUAACACCUCCCAACAAAGGAUUCCCCCAGGCAGGAAGCAGCCAGGCAUUGAAACUGCAAGGCAAUCCAAUGCUAAUCAAGGUGGCCAAUGGCAACAUUCACACUUGCCUCCAACAAAGAAGAGUUGG
rnacentral:lncRNA from 11 species